AUACAUCAAAAUGAAGCUGGUUCUCUGUGGAUCACAUCCCUUCUUCUCAACAUAGUCAUUGUUUCUCUCAGUAGCAAUGUUCCACCUUCGAAUGAGAGCAUGUAUCCCUGUCCCAUAAAAUUCUGUUAACUGUUCUUUGAGUCAGUUUUUCACUACAGUUUUCACUUCCUUGUCACUGGAAUAAUGUUUACCUCUCAAACCCUCUAUCGUGGUACCGAAGAGAUGAUAGUCUGAAGGUGCUAAAUCUGUUGAUUGUCAAGUGAUGAUGAUAUUCCAGUGAU